GAGCACAGAGCUGGACGUGGGGCUCAACCCCACAACCCUGAGAUCACGACCUGAGCCAAAAUCAAGAGUCAGAUGCUUAACCAACUGAGCCACCCAGGCGCCCCCCAGAAUCAGUUUAAACCAGGAGAAGCCCUGCUUCUCCCUCUGCCUGUGUCUCUGCCCUCCCCCCAUCUCUCAUGAAUAAAUAAAUAAAAUCUUAAAAACAAAACAAAACAGGAGCAGUUCACAAGUAACCAGUUGCUGCUCUUAGAUACUAAAAAUAGGAUCCUGAAUUUAAAAAUUCAAAGCUUGGAAAAGAAAGCUGAAGAAAUCUGUCUGGAAAAAUGUACAGAGUCAAAAAGAUUGAGUAGGAGAAGAAAAUAAGAAAAUUAGAGGAUCAACCCCAAACGUCCGUUAGACAAACAGGAGUUCCAGAAAAGGAGAAGAGAUAAAACAGGAAAGAAGAAAGUACAACAAACAAACCAACAAAACCCAGUACAUUUCCCAGGACUGAAGGACGUGACUCUUCAGAUGGAAAGGGCUGGGUGGACAUGUCGCACAUCACUGGUUCUGAAAGAAGAGUCUUCCCUGAAGGGUAUUUGAGGCCGAGCAGUGUGAUUCCCACUGCUGGCUGUUGCCCACGGAGUAAAUAUUCUGCCACCAGGUAUCCAUUCUGCCAUUGAUGGAUUUGCAUGUUCCCAGUCGGGGGCUACGAUUACAUUUUGCCCCCGUGAAUGUGCUUAUUUGUAUCUUGUGGGUGCACAUGGAGAAGUAGAGUUAGGAACCAUGGGCUGUAGGUACAAUCUGUUGUGGUGGAGGCAGUCAGUCAGUUUUCCAGAGUGGUUGAGCCAAGUGACAUCACAGUCAGCAAUUCUGGAGAGUUCCAGUGGUGUCAUUCAUGUCAGCAGUAGAUGCCGUCUUUUUCACCCAUUGCCUUUGAGGUCAGCGUCGUGAAUUUUACAAAGACCCACCAGAAGGAAGAGCCCUCUACGAUGCGGGAGCUCUUUGAAUCCGGUUCCGGAAAGAACGUAAACAAGAAGGCAGCUAAACAAGGCAGAGGUAGCAGGUGCCAAAUCCUGUGUCACCGGCCACAUUAUGGGCUUCAGAUUUGAGUCUGUGCACACUGGAAGCUACUGAAGAACUGCUUUUGAGAGUCUGGAAUGUCCUUUUGUCCACAGUGUGGAAAGCAGACUAGAGAAGCCAAAAGCGAUGCCCAGAGGGCACCAAGCUAUGGGGACAUCUCAGAUGCUCAUCCCUGAUCCAUCUGCUGAAGCCUCGGGAGGCUCUGCAGGGCAGGCGGGGUUUCGCUCCCAGAGAUGCAAGGGCAGCUCAGAGGGCACGUCCAGGGAGGACAGGACCACCUGGAUGCACCGCUACAGGCCCCUGUUCUGUGGCUUCUGUGGUAUGUAGGGGAAGCAAGUUCCCAAAGAGCCAGCGUGAUCUCACUCUUCACAACGACCCCUUCUGAUCCUGAAGCAAACGUCCUCAUGGCCCGGCUGUUCCUUGCCCAGCAGAGCAGCUGGGACACAGCAGGGACGGCUUGGCCACAGCAUUCUGGAUGACAGGCACUUCCCCCAGCUAUCACCCACUUGAAAGAACCCGACAUAGGACCAAUAUUUGAAAAGUCUCAUGUAAGAACCAGGCCAGCCCCAGAAGCCAAGGUUAACUCCUCGUAGUUCCCUGUGCUUGUUCAUUCCUGACCCAGAAACCCAAGAUGUGACAUUUCCGAGGUGUUGAACGAACGUAUGCAGCUGAGAACUGGGGCAGGCUCAUUUGUUUGUGCAGUGUUGAUGGCCAACGUUAAUCACCAAGGAGACCCAGAGAUGCAUUCCUCCUCGCUUAAGGAGCCCAAGCAAAUUAUGCUGAAAUCCUUCCAAGGGUUGAAAUAUGUUUAUAAAUUCUCCUUGCUGAACUGUUGGCCCCAAGAAAUCUUAUAAUAAUAAAGCGCUUACGUGUUGGGUGGGUUGCUUGGGUUCUUACCCCUCUGCCCCCACCCCCAUACAUGUGCAAUGUUUUCUGUUUAUGGAGCAGUGUGUUACUAUCACAUCUUCUCAUUUACCACCCACAAAAGGAUAUGCAUCAAGCACUGAAGUAAGAGCCCCAUGUAUCAGAUGGGUAAUGAAUUUCUCCCCACGCUGCUGGAUUCAUUACCGUGAUUUAUGGCUGUUUUAAUGUACACAGCCUUCUUAAACAACUUAGAGUUGAUUGUUCUGGAACUAGGUCUGAGUCUCAGAUAACUCCCUGGAGCUGUGCCAUUGUUCAGGAAAGUUAAUGGUGUCCCUGGGCAGGUAAACAACCUUGGAUCAAAGGCUUUAGGUUACCCACAAACACCAUCGAUUGAAAUGGGAAGGGCUUAUAAUGGGGUGGGGGGCACCGCUAUGAUAAUCCUUCUAAAGGCCGAAGCAACCCAGAGCAACCGGGAAGUGCAUCUCC